UACGAAGGGGGCUAGCGUUGCUCGGAUUUACUGGGCGUAAAGGGCGCGUAGGCGGACAGUUUAGUCAGAGGUGAAAGCCCAGGGCUCAACCUUGGAAUUGCCUUUGAUACUGGCUGUCUUGAGUACGGGAGAGGUGAGUGGAACUCCGAGUGUAGAGGUGAAAUUCGUAGAUAUUCGGAAGAACACCAGUGGCGAAGGCGACUCACUGGCCCGUUACUGACGCUGAGGUGCGAAAGCGUGGGGAGCAAACAGG
rnacentral:rRNA from 1 species